GCCCGACUGUGGGGCGAGGUCCCGCUGACAGCGGGCUGGGCGGCGCGCGUGCCGCGACCGUUGAGCCCUAACGGUUCCCCGCGCAGCAGGCGCGAGCCGGCGUCACCUGCCCUGAGGGAUCCUCCUCCCUCAGACCUGCCGGGGCACGGGCGGCCGCGGCGAGCCGGGCGCAGCCUCCGCUCCCUUCCCCUCCCUCCGCGCCGAGGGAGCCCUGCGCCGAGCGGCGAACUCCGGCAGGAGGAUCGCUCCCCUGCGCCCUGCCUAGCCCCAGCCCCCGCUCCCCUCCGCCUUGCCUCCUCCUCUGGUCACUGGGACUGAUGAAUUAAUCAUGAUGCGGCCGCUGUUAAUGCAUUUAUGUGGAGCGGGCUGUGCCACCGGCUCAAGGCGCAGCGCGGUGGGGUGAGGGAGUGAGGAGAGCGCCGGCCCCUCCGCUCCAGCGCGGAGCCGCCGCCUGCAGCCGUGCGGAGCCGAUGCCGCGGCCACACUGCUCUCCAUGGCUCCGGAGGAGAUGCUUCAGAAACUUGCUGUGUGUUUACCACGGGUUCUGCCAACCAGCUCGAGAGGGGACUUACCUAUUCUUUCAUUAGUUGAGCAUAAUAUUAUCUUGAACUAAUUAUUUCUCUCCACAUGGCCUUCCUACUAGUGUCAGCUUAUCUUCUGCUGACUCACACUCAGGGUGCUCCUGUUGAGAACGGGGCACUGUUGGAAACACUGAAGUCACAAGUAGGAUUAUUCAGCAAUAAAAGCGAACACUAUUCAGCACAGGUGAAACCUCCUGGCACAAGCCGACAAAUACCUCAGACAAUCAUCAUAGGAGUUCGUAAAGGAGGGACAAGGGCUUUGCUGGAAAUGUUGGAUAUUCAUCCUAAUAUUGUAGUAGCAGCUACAGAAGUCCACUUCUUUGACUGGGAUGAAAAUUAUGUGAAAGGAAUAGACUGGUAUAGAAGUCUGAUGCCAUUUUCUUAUGGAAAUCAAAUUACAAUUGAGAAAACACCAGGCUAUUUUACAUCACCGCAGGCUCCAGAAAGAAUUCAUGACAUGAAUAGCUCCAUUAAACUGCUGCUCAUUCUAAGAGAUCCCACUGAGAGGGUUAUAUCUGACUAUACCCAAGUGUAUUACAACAGAGUAGAAAGCCACAAGCCUGUUCAGCUUUUUGAAGAUAUUGUUAUUAAGAAUGGAGCACUUAAUACCAAAUACAAAGCUAUUCAGAGAAGCCUAUAUGAUGUUCAUAUGGAAAAGUGGCUUAAGCAUUUCAGUUUGGAUCAGAUUCACAUAGUGGAUGGCAAUACUUUAAUCAAGGACCCUCUUCCUGAAUUACAAAAAGUUGAAAGAUUUCUGAAUCUUCCUUCCCGAAUUAUGUCUUCUAAUUUUUAUUUUAACCAAACCAAGGGAUUCUACUGCAUUAGAAGUGAUGGAAGGGAGAGAUGUUUACACGAAUCCAAAGGGCGCCCCCAUCCUCUUGUUAACAACACCGUUUUAGAGCAACUGUAUUCUUACUUCAGAGAGCACAAUGCAAAAUUUUACAGAAUGGUUAAUCAUUCCUUUGACUGGCAUUAAUGCCUUUGGAAUCAAUGUUUCUUAAAAAGGGCCUGAAAAAAACUCUUUCAAGCAUAUCUUUCUAAACUGUAAAGAUUCAUGUUAUGAGAACUUAACAUACUGGUUAUAUGCUUCUUUGGAAUAACCCAUCUGUUAUCUCAUUGAAUUGGUACCUUUUACAUUGGGGAAAAAUAUGUUUCACGUAUUUGUAUGAUUACUGUGAGUCAUAUUCUGAUCUUCUUUCUCCCAUCAUGCAAAUACAUUAACUUCAGCAGACUUACUUCAGAUAUGUAUCUGUUACAAGAUUUGUGCUGUUUUGGAAAAAUGACUGCUUCUAACAGUGUAAAAUAUGUAAAUAUUUGAAAUGGUAUUAUUCUAACUGUUCUGUAUUUUUUGUUGUUAGUAUUUUUUAUAUUACGCACAAUGAUAGUGGUGUUGAUUUCUAGAAUUUUUCAUACAAUAAGCUAAAUUGUAUGUUAAAACAGGAGCAUACAUAGUGGCUCCAAUAAAUAAUUCAUCCUCUGUUAAUAUGCCGAAGUUCUUAACCAAUUCAUAAUAAAAUGAAUCUAUUUCGCCUAUGAUUUUGAAUAGGUGAACUAGAAGCUCACUGUCUGUAUAUCAUUAGUAUUAAACCACACUCAUACUACCUUGGGUUUAAAAACAAAAAUAAUCUCCAAACAAAGAAUAUGAACUGUUUGAAGAAGCUUUAAGUGAGAGUUCUGAAUGUAAAGAAAUUAAAUGAUCCCAGCUUCUCAGGACACUGGUGAGCUGUAGUUGUGUGGGCCCACUCUGAGCAUCGCAGCAUCAAAUUCCACUGAAACCCUGUUGAGAAUCCUGAAUCUGUGUCCUUCUGUCUAAGCCGCUGUGCAGCCUACAGGAGCAUGUGUUCCUAACGUGGGAUUCAGUCUUCCACUUCAGAGGCUAAAAGGCAUCAAGUCUUUCUCUCUCUUCUCUGAAGUUUACAGCUAAUCUUUAAAUGAGUUGAAUGCAGGAACACUGGUUGGCAGAAGCUGUAUGCGUCUUUGAAAAUGCAGGUCUCUUUCAGGCAUUUACAUUUCAAGGAGAGCUGAUCUUUAUGGAUUUGUGACGCAUAUAUCUACUUGAUUUGUUAGCACUCUUCAUUCCUAAUCAGCAUUUUUGGGAAGGACAGAAUUGAUGGAAUGAAUUGAAUGAUCAUUUUAGAGUUUACUAAUAUCAGAAGAAAUAGAUUAUGCAUAUUAUGAUUUGGGAGACGGGUUGGUUGUUUUGGUUUGGUUUUGCAUAAAUCAAGAUUCUCAUCUGAAGUUUUGUUUUGGUAAAUGGUCUACAAAGAUACAACUUAACCUCAGCGUAACAGAAUUCAAUAAAUAUAGUAGACUAUAAUUUAACAUCACAAACUGUUUCAAUCAGUUUCUGAUUUUGUGGUCUGAAAAAUAUUAUGAGGUCAUGACCUCCGUUCUUACUGUCUUCAAAAGAUAACACUCCUUCCCUCAUCCUCAGGAAGGGGAUCAGAUCAGCUUAAAGAUCUCCUGACCCAUUCUUUAGUAAUUCUUUAGAAAUAAAAAGUACUCACUUCUUGGCAUUUGGGAUUGAAAACUAGUCUAAUUUUGGAAAGAACUAGAGGCUCACCAUCAGUUUAAAGAUGCUAUUAACAAUUUAAGAAAUUACAAAUAUCUCUUAUGCGUUUCCACAUUGAUAGCAAACCAUAAACUAUUCGUCUCCAAAUUCUCCAAAUCAAAGGACUUUCAUCUCCUUAUCUGAUACUCAAGAGGUAUUUGCAGAAAUAAAUUUCACGUGGGAAGGUUGCUUAAAGAGAUCACGCAGUUGUUUUAAAGGUUGUUGGGAGCAUCUGAAAGAGAUGAUACAGUCACAUGUGUAAGACUACUGCAGAAUUUAUGAUGAUUUGCACAGCUCUUUGAUGUUGUUUUGCAUUCCACAAAUACUAAGCCUUCACUUUAAAUACUGUUCUCUUCCUUUUUUUAGUUAAAGUGCCAUAGUUGUAGUUGCUUUGAUCUAAUAGCACUGAAAAUUACUAAUAUCAAGCAACUGCAGCUGUUAACUGGAUUGGUUUAGCCUUUGCCACAAUAAGCAGCACACUCACACUUAAUACCUAAACGAGUCUAAUAUUAGCAUUUUUUUUAUAUGGGCUAUAUAUAUUACCUAUAGUACAUAAAGAAAAAGCAGAAGGAAACUUAAGAGCCAGGGUUUUGCCCCAAAAAGCUUCUAGUACGUAACUAAUGGGAUGAAAACAAAGAGGUUCCUCUAUUGGACUCACCCAUUAUUUUUCCAGGAAGAGGGUUGGAUUUUUUCAUUGUAUCCUUUGUAUCUUGCUGCUCAAAGGCUUUGGGCUGACUUUUGGCCUUUUCUUUCACAGCUUUUACAGUUCUGCUGAAGAAUACCUGUUAAAGCAGAGACAUUUUUGGAAUAUCCAUAAACAAUAUUGUGGAGACCUUUACAGACAGCAUAUGCUUAGUACGCAUCAUUGUAUGCUGCUGCACAACAUCAGCUCCUUCAGUAUCCGUUUGAUGCUGUAGGGAAGCGCAUCUGCAUGCAGUUUUCAGUCUUCACGCACAUUUCAUGAGUGCAUCAAAAAGAAAUUUUAAAAUUGGGUUGCUUCCAGCAAGUCUGACUGCUUUUUGCCUUUGUCAAUUCAGAUGCUUUUGUGAGUAGGACAAAAAUUUUAAUAUUGUCAAAAUCCUUAUAAUGUCUCGUUUAAUCUAUGUGGUCAGAAACAAAAAUAUGGGUUAUUGCUUUCCUUUAUAGGAGCACAGUUUAAAAAAAAAAAAGUGAGAGAUGCCCCAAUAUCUUGAUGCAUCGUAUGUCUUGCACAAUAACAUUUCCUUGCAGAGAAAGAAACAUUUACAUUAUUUAAGUAAAGAUUAUACUACUGUAGAUUAUUAUUUACUGUACUUUUGGAUUUGAUCCUUCAUUUCCUCCAAAAGCUUGAAUUUUGUCAUAGAAAUGAACAGACACAUUGGAAUUAAAAUCAAUAAUAAUUUGCAUAGCACAUUAAUCAUUACCAGCAGUUAAUAGCCAACGUUUACUGGCCAAAUAAUUUCCACUUUGAUUAUUUCAAGUUUCAAUGUGACUUACUAAAUUGUUCUGCUAUUUUAUAAAACAAAUUUAAAAGUCAGAACCACAGUGGAUAAAAAGACCCUGUAGUAUCAUUCUGUGAUUAUAGAGGAAUUGUCAUGUCUUUAAGGUUAAUUAACAGUGACAUGAGUUUACUGCAAUUCCCGAAAAAUUUUUGGAAGCCAAGAUACUAACGGAACUGCAAAGUAUAAAUUAGUACUUGAGGUUGAAUCUGCUACUAAGGGAAGAUAAAACAGAUUAAAAUGGACUGACACAAAUCAUACUUUCCUGGUAAAGUAGAUGUGAUGCGAAAUGUGCAGUAUCUCAUGUAUUAGCCCAUAUAACAAGUGCUAUGAAGUCUAUUUCCUGAUGCAAAAUGGUCUUACACUUUUACCUUGUAUGUUCUUUUAGUUCCCUUACAAAAACUUCUCAGUAAGUGUUUAAAGAAAAACAUCUUAAUGUAAACUCUUUACCAGUGGUACAGGUUUUCUCUCAAAGGGCAUUUCUCUGGUUUUGUGUUGUUUCCUCUGAGAUAAAAACGUGGUUUGAGUUGCACUGCAAUAAAAAUAGACAGUUAUCGUACCAGAACAAAGAAUAUUACUUCUGUUUAUUACAGUUCCCAGUGAAGAACAUUUUUAUAUAGGGACUGAUAAUAGUUUAACAAUCUCUUUGUAUUUUCUGUCUUCAUUAGAUAAUGCAACUAUGUUAUAGUUUUUCUUAUUCUGAAGAACAUUAAAGCACUGACUUACAGAUCUAAAUCAGAUGGCAGUAAUAAAAGGGAGGCACAGGUAAUUAAGAAUCCGUUCACUUUGCCACUCAGAUUGGCUAAUAUUUGCUUAUUAUUUAACUCUUUAGAUGUGAACAUUUUGAUCCAUCGUAAACUUUCCAUUAGGAAUGCAUCAGUCAAACUUGCAACAGGAAAAAAUAAGGCAAGGGCAACUAGAACGCAAUGAAACCUGAGGUGAAGGCCCUCUUCUGCUAAAUAUUUGUGGACAUAAUAUGGCAUAGUUACAAAUGAAAGUUAUGACUGGCCUGAUAAGACAAUGCACAGGACUAAGUAACAUGUUACUCCAGGGAUUUAUCUAGGUAUUCUAUGUGCCUGGAUUAGUUUUAAGAUCAUUAGGCUAUUAGGGAAAUAUGAGAAUAUACAUUUUCAAAACACUGUAUUUCAUCUUAUUAGAGAAUACUACAAUACUGUAGGACAGGUCUAUCCUUGGGUGAAAUGCUGCAGUGCUACUAAGGCAAAUUGGAUGGGAAGUAACAAUUCUCUACACUAAGUGUUGGGCAUUUUUAAAUUCCUUAUGGAAAAUUAGCAGCACUAGAUAGAGCGGUUUUGUUGUUGAUUUGACAAAGACUGUCAGCCUAGAAAAAUGCUGUGCAACUGUCAUGAGAAGAUUGAAGAUACCUUUUCUGUCCUCUGCCAAGAUACAAAUCUACUACUCAAGACAAGUGACACAGAUGGAACGCUGCAAACUGCAGGGGGUGCAUUGCUGCCUUGAGUGAAGAAAGAUUAAAGACUCAUAAACAACAUAUGCGAUAGUUACACACACACACGAAUCACGUGCAGCUUGCAAAAUACGCUCAGUCUAAAAUAAAAACAAGCAGGGUCUACAGCUGCGCACUAAAGUGGUGCUGUUGAAGGCAUACUGAACCAGGGGCAACAGUUCCAGUACGAGCUAUCUGUAACUUAUUAUUUGUUGUAUUAAUAAACUGAAGUCUGUUUAGGCCAUGCUCUAGGCAUCUUCUGUGAGCCCGCACCAUAUACUGCUCUUAAGAUUUUCACCUUGCAGACAAGGGGUAUUGUAUUCUUAGAUUCAAAGUAAUCUUCAUCCAUUAUGUGUUUACCAGACAAACCAUGUUUAUGUGAUUGAAGUUCCUUGUCAAGUGUACAUACAACAAAAUGAAUAAAACAGAUAAACAGAUUCUCUGAAAAAAAAAACGCUAAUAGGUCAUAUACAUAGGGCCUGUUUAUGUAGAGUAAGCAUAGCAGAACAGGGUUCAAGUAAACUGCCUUUCAUACUUUUCAAAAAUAAACUUUCUGUGUGUUUUCAUUUCCUUUGAUUUUGGGAGGGGAAGUCUCCUCUACAUUGUUUAAUAACAAACUUGGAAUUUUAAAGUUCAAAUUCAUCUGAGAAAUUAAAAUAUUUUGGUUUCAGUGUCUAAAAUAGGAAAUUACCAUUCAAAAGUUAUUACAUUUUUAGUAGCAUUAGAAAACUGUUCACUUUCUUUUUAGUUCUUUUAUGCCUUUUGUCACACCCUCGCGCCUCUCCCUUGAAAAAAUAUUUUCAUAGCAAAUACCCUUUUUGCAAGCUGAUUUCAAAGUUAAAUGGGCAGAGUUCACAAUAUUAAUGACUUGCAUUAGAAUUACAAAGAUUAGGUAGGGUGAUAGCGAAGUCUUACAUUUCCACGACUGGAAAAAAAUGGCAUAUGAAGUAAAACGGUGGUCACCUAAAAUGGGUACCUGCUGAAUCAUACUAAGUAUUGUGUGCUCCAGAUUAUAUAGAGAGAGAUCAGGGAUGCUUCAGCCAUCCAAAUGACUGCUUGCAAUGUGUUUUGUGAGUUUGGAAAGAGUGGUUUCCUGCUUUCAUCAAACAGACGUUCAGGCUUCAAUCUGAGAAAAAUCUGGGUUCCAGUUCUUAGGGUGCUUGUGUGGAAGUGAGCCUUUAGAUGCCUUUUUCCCCCCUCAUAUUAUCUGCAGGACAGAUUUUUGCCAAAUUGCAGUAUGUAUUCCAUUGGUAACAGCAAACUAACUUUGGAAACCCCAUUUAAUUUAUUUUACAAGGUGCUGGGUCCUCCAUUACUUUUGUCCAAAACCCCAGUUGUUGCGGAUGGUAAUUAUUCUAGACAAAUACAACCACCCAGAAAAAUAGGAAUGAAAUGCACUAAUCCAGCUUUCUGUAGCUACUACAUACAAUGAGACAGAAAAUACAGAAGCUUGUUAUCUUGUUAGGGUCCUUUGUCCAUGACUCCUGUUUAUCAAAUAAGUAUUGGAUACAGUUAUAUAUACUUGUAUGACUCCCUAUCCUGAUCAUCUGUAUAUUAUGAUCAAAGGGCACAGGAUUAGGUUACCUCACUUUAAUACUAAAGCCCAGGAUGUUUAUUUCACAUAAAUGCAACUUCACUGCCAGUCACCCACUGUCUUUGAUUUUCUUCUCUAUCUAUAAAUUCUUCUCUUGUGUUUUUUUCUUUAUUAAUGAACACUGGCUUUUUCGUGGAAUAAAUAGUUUUGAUCUUAAAUUUAGUUUUCGUGAUCUGAGAAAAGUAAAAGCUGAAACAUAUACUAUGGCUUCCAAAAAUGAAUAAAUUUUGUUUUUAUGCUCUGUUAGUAUAUCAGGGAAUCAGAUUACAAACUUGUAAACAAUUAAGACAAAAUAGCUAAUCCUAACACACAUAGCAAGCAUAAUGACUGAGGAUAUUUUUUGGAGGACAGGAAAAAAAUUCACCUUCUGUUUUAAAAAAAGACAUAUUUAUUUGAUAUUUAACAGAAGCAUUUGGAUUCAUGUGCUCCAUUAACGUGAAGUGGCACUGGCUUCAGUCAUCUGCGCUGACUGCAGUAAAACUACUCUAAUUUGUAGCUGAGGAUCUAGCCUAAAACGCAUCUAUGCACAGAAUGCUACUUCAGUGUUAGGUGGCUGAUAAGGCAAAUGAAAUAAGUCUACUUUCUGAAACAUAAAUACUCUUAUCACUUAAUACACAAAUUAAACAUUUGAUGGUAAUGCUAAUACAGAAGCUAUUUCUCUCUUAAUUUGAUUUUUCUGUAGAAAUUCUAGUCAGUGACAGAUUUAGUCAGUGACAGUGAAUAAACUGUAUUCUCUAACUUCAUGUAUAAAUGAGUGCAUUUACUGCAGGGGGAAGGGGGGGGUGAAAUUCCUUUAUUUGCAUCGCUGGCCUCAUUCUGUCAACAUAUCACCCAGAUUGCUGGAUACACACAGAGAUGCAUUCUGGCAAUGCUAGGAAGGGACCUGCACCUCCUGCUGUCUAUUUCAAAUUAUUAGUAAUAGGAUGAUGCUUCUGGCACAUCUAAAAUAAAUUAAUAUUGGAUUAAUUCAAUUCAAGGAGGUGUCAGGAAAACAUAUUGCAGAUUCAUUCAUCACAAAGUUGAGACCAAUGUGUUUCAAAAGUAGUACCACAGUAAUUAUGUUUACAUGUAUAAUUGCCUAAAGUUGAGCCAAAUGACAGAAAGUAUUCUAACACUUUCCAACAUGUCUUCAGUGCUG